rnacentral:rRNA from 1 species
ACGCUCGACACCUACGGGAGGAGCAGUGGGGAAUAUUGCACAAUGGAGGAAACUCUGAUGCAGCGACGCCGCGUGAGGGAAGAAGGUCUUCGGAUUGUAAACCCCUGUUGUCAGGGACGAUGAUGACGGUACCUGACGAGGAAGCCACGGCUAACUACGUGCCAGCAGCCGCGGUAAUCUGAGGCGGCUGGCAAGGC